GGGGGCAUCUGGCCGGCGAGCGCAGAGGUGGGGGGGCUCCCCGGGGGGCUCCCCGCCCCCAGCGACGAGCAGAGCGCGGCCCGGCCUUGCCCCGCGUCCAGGGGCGGCACCUCGCCUCCUAACCUGCCGCCUCCCGGAGCCUCAGAACGACCCGCGGGGCCCGGAGGGGCCUCGGCGCUCGCCAUUUGCCGUAUUUCCACUUGGCUCAGGCAGAACUGGAGGAACCUUCCCUAAGAGGCUGAUUUGGGUAUCCACGUAAUCAGCUGCUCCUCGGGCACUUACAUACGGUGUAAAAUAAAAUUCUCACAUUGGUCCUGCUGUGCUGUUUCUAAGGAAUGAGAACCUGGGGGAGCUGCGCAGGCCCCUGCCAGGUGCACGGCAAAGUGGGAGCUGUUCAUCCUGUGAGGUCCCUGCUCAUCCCAGAGAAGCGCCAACUCUUCUCACUGCGGCCUUCCAGCUACUCUCUAUUUAAAUCUCAGGCCGAAUUCAUAGGUUUUCAGGAUGAUGCUAAAGUUAUCUAGGUCAUCAGCUUGGUGGCAUUGCCCUCACGGAAGCCCCUGAAUGCUCCUCUCUCAUUCAUCAUCUAUCAACGAUCCAGACAGCAAAGGCUCAUGAGCCCCCAUGACAUAACCGAAGUAUAAGACCUAAGGCGUCAGGCUCAGUUAGCGAUUCCAGACAAGACAGUGUAAGUGUGUACACUGAGCCUGAGUGUGCAAGCUGCUGAAUGUCUGGGACCACGGACAUCAGAACAACAAAGACCUGUCUCGCAGGGAGAUUGUGUGGGUUUCUGCGGCCGAACCAUUAUUCUGGCAAGGGGGAGCCGAUGUCUGACCCAUCAGGUCCCAGCAGGGAAGAGCGGCCACUAGGCCCUCGACCAAGAAACUGGGGCCAUCAGGGAAUUGCUGCUUUCAAGAGAGCUGCCCAGGGAGGUACAGGGAGGCAGGAGAUCUUAGCUCAGGAGUCAGCACAGGAGUUCAUGGAAGCUGGCCCAGGUGUGGCCUUCAUGUACACAAAUAUCUCUCCCCCUCAUGCACACCAAGAGGGAAAAGGACGUCAGAGAUCACUGUCAAGGACCCAGGAGAAUUCCAGGCUUGGUCAGGGGUGAAGUUGGAACCCGAGAGCGAGACUGAGGAUGGAAGCCGUGCCUGCCCUGAGGUCAUCCACUAAUGAUCUUCCCCUGGCCUCAUGCCGUCCAUGUGCAGCACAGGGUCUCUUUACGUGUGUGCCCACUUUGGUGUUGAUGCAAUUGCAGAGGUUGACCUAGACGACUCCACGCUCCGAAUAAUGGGAAUGGCAAACCCGAAACCCAAGCCAAAAGAAUCCACAUCAGAAGAAGUGGCAAGACAAAGUCCUCCUUCCUUGAAAGUGUACAAAGGGAGCCCCUGUCCUGGGCAGGAGAGGGUCCUGGCGGGCGGUCCCCUUCAGGACCCCCAGGUCAGGGGUGUUGCUGUUCCUGGGGAAGUCCCUGCACCCUCUGAAUAUCAGCAGCUCUGAGGGGUGUCUCUGCUGUCUGCCCAAGUUCCUGACACUGUCCUUUGGGGAAGGGGGCCUGGGGAUGUGCUUCAGGAGCUGGGAGGAGGCUGGAUCCUCUACUUCUUCCCACAUCAGGAGCUGGGGACUCUGUAAGAUUUCUCCUUUAAAAUGAGCACAAGAGGGUCGCCUGGUAGCUCAGUGUCGGGGCCUCUGCCUCUGUCUCAGAUCCUGACCCUGGAGCCCUGGGUUUCAGGCCCAUGACCGACCCCCCACACGGAGCCCGCCUCUGUCUGUCCCUCGUCAAUAAAGAAAACAAUAUCUGGAUGGAAAAGAUAGAAAAUGACUAUGAGACCUUUUGAUUCUCUUAGAUUCCAACAGGAAGCAAAAGACCCAAACGACUCCUGGACAGUAAAGCGGCUUUAA